rnacentral:rRNA from 1 species
GACGAACGCUGGCGGCGUGCUUAACACAUGCAAGUCGAACGGAAAGGCCCUGCUUUUGUGGGGUGCUCGAGUGGCGAAAGGGUGAGUAACACGUGAGUAACCUGCCCUUGACUUUGGGAUAACUUCAGGAAACUGGGGCUAAUACCGGAUAGGAGCUCCUGCUGCAUGGUGGGGGUUGGAAAGUUUCGGCGGUUGGGGAUGGACUCGCGGCUUAUCAGCUUGUUCGUGGGGUAGUGGCUUACCAAGGCUUUGACGGGUAGCCGGCCUGAGAGGGUGACCGGCCACAUUGGGACUGAGAUACGGCCCAGACUCCUACGGGAGGCAGCAGUGGGGAAUAUUGCACAAUGGGCGGAAGCCUGAUGCAGCAACGCCGCGUGCGGGAUGACGGCCUUCGGGUUGUAAACCGCUUUCGCCUGUGACGAAGCGUGAGUGACGGUAAUGGGUAAAGAAGCACCGGCUAACUACGUG